GUGGGAGGAUGCUUGAGAGGGGGGAUGGUGAUUAUGACAGUGUCUAUGAUGAGGCAAGGCUGGAGCUGCUGGAAAAGGGAGCAGGAUGAAAUACAGCGUGGGCUAAAUGGCACCACCUACAGCUCCUGUCUAGACCUUGGAACUGCGACUACGACCUUUACGUGGGGAAGAACAAGUCCUGGAAUUUAUGUACCCUCGGCCUGCCUUUGCCAACACGACGAUGUCGGUGUGAUGGGAGCUCUGUGCUGUGAUGGUGGAACAAGCUUGAACCAUUGUGUUAAAUGA
rnacentral:lncRNA from 1 species